rnacentral:rRNA from 1 species
UUGGUACCUCGUCCCUUUAGGUGGGGAAUAACGUCGCGAAAGUCGGGCUAAUACCGCAUGUGAUCCUUCGGGAUUAAAGCCUUCGGGGCGCUAAAGGAGGGGCCUGCGUCUGAUUAGCUUGUUGGUAAGGUAAUGGCUUACCAAGGCGAUGAUCAGUAGCUGGUUUCGAGAGGAUGAUCAGCCACACUGGAACUGAGAUACGGUCCAGACUCCUACGGGAGGCAGCAGUAAGGAAUCUUCCGCAAUGGACGAAAGUCUGACGGAGCAACGCCGCGUGCAGGAUGAAGGCUUUCGGGUCGUAAACUGCUUUUGUAUGGGAAGAUUAUGACGGUACCAUACGAAUAAGGACCGGCUAACUACGUG